ACAAAUGUACAUGUCUUUUAAGGAGUCACAGUUCCCAUUAGAAGGUAUUUGUUUCCAUUGAAAUGUGAGAUACCCUGGGUGCCUAGAUCCACAUAGCAGUGGAAAGCUUAAAGGAGAGGGAAAGCUACCUAUAAAUUUUUUCCCAGGCACACACACGGUUCUGCGAGCUAGGAAUCUAACAAGUUGAUGGUAAAUCUUAAUUUUCUUCCCUUCUAUACUAGGGCAGUGGUUCUCAAAGACUGGCCCCUGAACCAGUCACAUCCACAUCACCUGGAAACUUGUUAGAAAUGCAGAUUCUCAGGCCCCACCCUGCACUACCGAAUCAGCACCUCUGGGGAUGGGACCAGCAAUCUGAGUUUUCGCAAGCCUGCUGGCCGAUGCCGACUCAUUCAAGAGCUUGGGAGCCUCAGCUCUAAGGAACGGCGGCAGUACCAGCAUGCAACUGAGUAGCAACAUGGGCUGCAAUUCUUCUCUAAACUGGCUUAUCCCAAAAGAAAUAUUCAUUCAGAUCAUGAGCUGCUCGAGCUGCAUUCUACUCAUCUCCUGGUCCCUGAGACAACGCAUGGAAGCCCUAUACGUCACCAUAUUUGUAACUCAGUGCAUCUUGAGAUGAUUCCUACUCUAGACACAGCUGGCUAAACGGAGAGAAAGAGGUUGUGACUGCAGAUGGCUUUUCUGCUUACGUGGUUUGUCGAUGGAAUAUAAAAUCAGAUCUUCCCAGAGUUCCCCGUCAUCCUGUUCCUUGGCAAAGUCAAUCGCUUUAUCAACGUCAUGUAAUUCCUCCAUGAUCAUCUUAAGGGCACUUCGGCUGUUACCCAUUCGGCCUAGCAAAAGGUGAGAAAACACUUAGGAUAAUGUAAUAAAACAUUUUAAGGGAAAUCACAUAUCUCUUCAUUUGUUUACAUAGUUUGAUAGCUAUGACAAAAAACAUAUUUCCUUAUGUGACAUCUGUAACUCAGUAAAAUCAGUAUUUCCUACUCACUGGGUGUUUACUUUGUCCUGAGUACUCAUUUAAGCGCUUCACAUGAAUUAUUUCAUGUAAUCAUCACUAUAAUCUUAUGAGGUAUGUUCUACUAAUAUUUUUGUUUUAUAAAAGAGGACAUAGAAAUGUUAGUGCCUUGCCAAGGUCAGACAGCUACUAAAUGGCAGAUCUGGAAUCUGAAUCAAGGUCUGUCAGAUUCUGACUUCCUUCUUAUGAUAAUUGGGAAAAAAACCCAAAAACUUCUCAACCCAUCUACAAUUUAUUGUGAUUUAUAUUGUAAGGUGUGAACUGAUACAGUUUUGGUCACUUAUUACACAAUGCUAAUUGUUAUCUCAGUAGCAUUUAUUAAAUGAUGCUACCUUCUC